rnacentral:rRNA from 1 species
AAUUUUGGACAAUGGGGGAAACCCUGAUCCAGCCUCCCGGCGUGUAUGAGGAAGGCAUCCGGGUUGUAAAUAACUUUUGGCGGGGAGAAAAAGGUAUCUCCUAUAACGAAGUACUGUUGAGGGUACCGGCAGAUGAACACCGGGCAAACUGCGUCCCAGAAGCCGCGUUAAUACGUAGGGUGAAAGCGUUAAUCGGAAUUACUGGGCGUAAAGAGUGUGUAGGCCGUUCGGAAAGAAAGAUGUGAAAUCACAGGGCUCAACCUUGGAACUGCAUUUUUAACUGCCGAGCUAGAGUAUGUCAGAGGGGGGUAGAAUUCCACGUGUAGCAGUGAAAUGCGUAGAUAUGUGGAGGAAUACCGAUGGCGAAGGCAGCCCCCUGGGAUAAUACUGACGCUCAGACACGAAAGCGUGGGGAGCAAACAGG